GAUGAACGCUGGCGGCGUGCCUAACACAUGCAAGUCGAACGAAGCGUCUUAAAGGAAGUUUUCGGAUGGAAUUUGGGAUGACUGAGUGGCGGACGGGUGAGUAACGCGUGGAUAACCUGCCUCAUACAGGGGGAUAACAGCUAGAAAUGACUGCUAAUACCGCAUAAGCGCACAGUGCUGCAUGGCACAGUGUGAAAAACUCCGGUGGUAUGAGAUGGACCCGCGUCUGAUUAGCUAGUUGGUGGGGUAACGGCCUACCAAGGCGACGAUCAGUAGCCGGCCUGAGAGGGUGAACGGCCACAUUGGGACUGAGACACGGCCCAA
rnacentral:rRNA from 1 species